GACGAACGCUGGCGGCGUGCCUAAUACAUGCAAGUAGGACUCACUUGAGACCGGUUGAGUAACACUUAGGUAAAUACCUAUUAGAGGGGGAUAACUAUUGGAAACUCUAGCUAAUACCGCAUACUAGUAGAUUGACCUGCGUUGUAUUAGCUAGUAGGUAGGGUAACGGCUUACCAAGGCAACGAUGCAUAGCCGACCAGAGAGGGUGAACGGCCAAACUGGAACUGAGACACGGUCCAGACUCCUACGGGAGGCAGCAGUGGUGAAUAUUGGACAAUGGGCGCAAGCCGGAUGCAGCAAUGCCGCGUGAAUGAAGUAGGCAUUCGGGUUGUAAAGUACUUUCAGCGAGGAGCGUUACUCGCAGAAGAAACACCGGGUAACUCCGUGCCAGCAGCCGCGGUAAUUC
rnacentral:rRNA from 1 species